rnacentral:rRNA from 1 species
GACGAACGCUGGCGGCGUGCUUAACACAUGCAAGUCGAACGAAGAGCGAUGGAAGCUUGCUUCUAUCAAUCUUAGUGGCGAACGGGUGAGUAACGCGUAAUCAACCUGCCCUUCAGAGGGGGACAACAGUUGGAAACGACUGCUAAUACCGCAUACGAUCUAAUCUCGGCAUCGAGGAUAGAUGAAAGGUGGCCUCUACAUGUAAGCUAUCACUGAAGGAGGGGAUUGCGUCUGAUUAGCUAGUUGGAGGGGUAACGGCCCACCAAGGCGAUGAUCAGUAGCCGGUCGGAGAGGAUGAACGGCCACAUUGGGACUGGGACACGGCCCAGACUCCUACGGGAGGCAGCAGCGGGGAAUCUUCCGCAAUGGACGAAAGUCUGACGGAGCAACGCCGCGUGAGUGAUGACGGCCUUCGGGUUGUAAAGCUCUGUUAAUCGGGACGAAAGGCCUUCUUGCGAAUAGUGAGAAGGAUUGACGGUACCGGAAUAGAAAGCCACGGCUAACUACGUG